rnacentral:lncRNA from 1 species
AAGCCUGGGUAGUGGGCUUAUCUCAUAGAACAUCCCACCCCAACAAACAAACAAUCCAACAGAACCCACAGAUACAGCAGACAUAUGUACAUGAAUGCAAUAAGGUAAAGCAGGUAAAUAAAUAACUGUACAAAAGAAUAAACACCCAACAAACAAGAAACCUACAAAAGCUAGGAGGGACUCGCUUAGGGAAACCGGGUCCCCAGUAGAGUCGCGAGUUGUCG